rnacentral:rRNA from 1 species
AGUUUGAGUCCUGGCUCAGGACGAACGCUGGCGGCGUGCCUAAUACAUGCAAGUCGAACGAACGGAGGAAGAGCUUGCUCUUCCAAAGUUAGUGGCGGACGGGUGAGUAACACGUGGGCAACCUGCCUGUAAGUUGGGGAGUAACUCCGGGAAACCGGGGCUAAUACCGAAUGAUAAGGAGUGACGCAUGUCACUGCUUUGAAAGAUGGUUUCGGCUAUCGCUUACAGAUGGGCCCGCGGUGCAUUAGCUAGUUGGUAGGGUAAAGGCCUACCAAGGCAACGAUGCAUAGCCGACCUGAGAGGGUGAUCGGCCACACUGGGACUGAGACACGGCCCAGACUCCUACGGGAGGCAGCAGUAGGGAAUCUUCCGCAAUGGACGAAAGUCUGACGGAGCAACGCCGCGUGUAUGAAGAAGGUUUUCGGAUCGUAAAGUACUGUUGUUAGAGAAGAACAAGGAUAAGAGUAACUGCUUGUCCCUUGACGGUAUCUAACCAGAAAGCCACGGCUAACUACGUG